UACAGAGGUCCCAAGCGUUGUUCGGAUUCACUGGGCGUAAAGGGUGCGUAGGCGGUCGGGUAAGUCUGAUGUGAAAUCCCGCAGCUUAACUGCGGAACGGCAUUGGAUACUAUCCGGCUCGAGGAGUGGAGGGGAGACUGGAAUUCUCGGUGUAGCAGUGAAAUGCGUAGAUAUCGAGAGGAACACCUGUGGCGAAGGCGAGUCUCUGGACACUUCCUGACGCUGAGGCACGAAAGCCAGGGGAGCAAACGGG
rnacentral:rRNA from 1 species